rnacentral:rRNA from 1 species
CACGUAGGCGGCCUGUUAAGUGUGGAGUGAAAUCCCACGGCUCACCCGUGGAACUGCUUCGCAUACUGGCAAGCUCGAGGACGGUAGGGGGGAGCGGAACUCUUGGUGGAGCGGUGAAAUGCGUAGAUAUCAAGAGGAACACCGAUGGCGAAGGCAGCUCUCUGGUCCGUUUCUGACGCUGAGGUGCGAAAGCUAGGGUAGCGAACG